AUGCGGAUCUAUACAUGCAGUCGACGCUUCUUUCCUCCCGAGUGCUUGCACUCAAUUGGAAAGAGGAGUGGCGGACGGGUGAGUAACACGUGGGUAACCUACCCAUCAGAGGGGGAUAACACUUGGAAACAGGUGCUAAUACCGCAUAACAGUUUAUGCCGCAUGGCAUAAGAGUGAAAGGCGCUUUCGGGUGUCGCUGAUGGAUGGACCCGCGGUGCAUUAGCUAGUUGGUGAGGUAACGGCUCACCAAGGCCACGAUGCAUAGCCGACCUGAGAGGGUGAUCGGCCACACUGGGACUGAGACACGGCCCAGACUCCUACGGGAGGCAGCAGUAGGGAAUCUUCGGCAAUGGACGAAAGUCUGACCGAGCAACGCCGCGUGAGUGAAGAAGGUUUUCGGAUCGUAAAACUCUGUUGUUAGAGAAGAACAAGGACGUUAGUAACUGAACGUCCCCUGACGGUAUCUAACCAGAAAGCCACGGCUAACUACGUGCCAGCAGCCGCGGUAAUACGUAGGUGGCAAGCGUUGUCCGGAUUUAUUGGGCGUAAAGCGAGCGCAGGCGGUUUCUUAAGUCUGAUGUGAAAGCCCCCGGCUCAACCGGGGAGGGUCAUUGGAAACUGGGAGACUUGAGUGCAGAAGAGGAGAGUGGAAUUCCAUGUGUAGCGGUGAAAUGCGUAGAUAUAUGGAGGAACACCAGUGGCGAAGGCGGCUCUCUGGUCUGUAACUGACGCUGAGGCUCGAAAGCGUGGGGAGCAAACAGGAUUAGAUACCCUGGUAGUCCACGCCGUAAACGAUGAGUGCUAAGUGUUGGAGGGUUUCCGCCCUUCAGUGCUGCAGCAAACGCAUUAAGCACUCCGCCUGGGGAGUACGACCGCAAGGUUGAAACUCAGAAAUAAUAGAGUAGCAGCGAAGA
rnacentral:rRNA from 1 species